AUUCGUUGGUGUUAGAUAUUUUUGUGCGAUUUUCAUCUGUCAAAAUUCACGAUUCAACCAAGUAGAAUGGAAACUAGAAUAGAGAAAAUAGUUUUUUCCACAGGUGAUAUUUAUUUUUUAUACUCGACCCGUACUCAAACGAUGAAUAUAUUAUUAAAUCUUUUGAAAAUUAUUAUUUUUGUACAAAAGAAAACGCGCACAUUUUCCCCCUGAAAUAUGUAUUUAAAUCUUGCACCGAAUAUAAACGUGCCAAUUUAAUAAAUCCUGCGAUGGCAUUUUUCCGUUUUCAA